CCAGGCGGGAUAUUAAGUCKGCGGUGAAAUUUUGCAGCUCAACUUUGAAAGUGCCUUCGAAACUGGUUUCCUUGAGUGUAGAUGAAGUAGGCGGAAUUUGUGGUGUAGCGGUGAAAUGCAUAGAUAUCACGAGGAACUCCGAUUGCGCAGGCAGCUUACUAAGCUAYAACUGACGCUCAUGCUCGAAGGCGUGGGGAUCAAACAGGAUUAGAUACCCUGGUAGUCCACGCCGUAAACGAUGAUUACUCGCUGUUUGCGAUAUACAGUAAGCGGCUKAGCGAAAGCGUUAAGUAAUCCACCUGGGGAGUACGUUCCCAAG
rnacentral:rRNA from 1 species